UACGUAGGGUGCAAGCGUUGUCCGGAAUUAUUGGGCGUAAAGAGCUCGUAGGCGGUCUGUCGCGUCUGCUGUGAAAACUCGGGGCUUAACCCCGGGCCUGCAGUGGGUACGGGCAGACUAGAGUGCGGUAGGGGAGACUGGAAUUCCUGGUGUAGCGGUGAAAUGCGCAGAUAUCAGGAGGAACACCGGUGGCGAAGGCGGGUCUCUGGACAUUUCCUGACGCUGAGGCACGAAAGCCAGGGGAGCAAACGGG
rnacentral:rRNA from 1 species